AGGGCGCAUGGUGGAUGCCUUGGUGCUAGAAGCCGAUAAAGGACGUGGUAAGCUGCGAUAAGCCUUGACUAGCUGCACACAAGCUAUAACUCAAGGAUUUCCGAAUGGGAGUACCUGGUAGGUCAAUAACCUAUCAUCUUAAAGUGAAUUCAUAGCUUUAAGAGGGGAACCGAGUGAACUGAAACAUCUUAGUAACUCGAGGAAAGGAAAGCAAAAGCGAUUCCCUAAGUAGCGGCGAGCGAAACGGGAAGAGUCCAAACUAUAACAGUGUCAAGCUUAUGGGCGUUGCUGUUAUAGGGUUGUAGGACUAUCAGAUCUUACCAUAAAAAGAUCAUAGUAUUAACUUUAGUUAACUCAAUUAGCUGGAAAGCUAAACCACAGAAGGUAAAAGUCCUGUAGGUGAAAGUUAAAGUUAAACUAGAUAGUAUCCUGAGUACCAUGGGACACGAGAAACCCCGUGGGAAGCAAGGAGGACCAUCUCCUAAGACUAAAUACUUUCUAGCAACCGAUAGUGAACCAGUACCGUGAGGGAAAGGUGAAAAGAACCCCGGGAGGGGAGUGAAAUAGAAUCUGAAACCAUGUGCCUACAAGCAGUCAGAGGACGUAUAUUAUCAGUCUGAUGGCGUGCUUUUUGCAUAACGAACCGGCGAGUUAUGAUAUGUAGCGUUUAGGUUAAGCCAGGAAGGUGGAGCCGUAGCGAAAGCGAGUCUGAAUAGGGCGCAAGUUACAUGUCAUAGACCCGAAACCAAGUGAUCUAUCCAUGGUCAGGGUGAAGCACGUGUAAGAACGUGUGGAGGCCCGAACUGCAUUGACGUUGAAAAGUCAUGGGAUGAACUGUGGAUAGGGGUGAAAGGCCAAUCGAACUUGGAGAUAGCUGGUUCUCCCCGAAAUAGCUUUAGGGCUAGCCUCAAGUGAAUGCACUUUGGUCGUAGAGCACUGAUUGGACUAGGGGCUUUAUUAAGUUACCGAAUCCAGUCAAACUCCGAAGGCUGAAGAUGUUUAUCUUGGGAGUCAGACUAUGUGGGAUAAGCUUCAUAGUCGAGAGGGAAACAACCCAGAUCGUCAGUUAAGGUCCCUAAGUAUGAGCUAAGUGGCAAAGGAUGUGAGAUUGCAUAGACAACCAGGAUGUUGGCUUAGAAGCAGCCAUUCAUUUAAAGAGUGCGUAAUAGCUCACUGGUCGAGUGGUCUUGCGCUGAAAAUGUCCGGGGCUUAAGCUCAUCACCGAAACUACGGAUUGUUUUUUGACAAUGGUAGGGGAGCAUUCUAUAAGGAUUGAAGCAGUACCGUAAGGAGUUGUGGACUUUAUAGAAGUGAUAAUGCCGGUAUGAGUAACGAUAAGAUAGGUGAGAAUCCUAUCCGCCAAAAGUCUAAGGUUUCCUGAGGAAGGCUCGUCCGCUCAGGGUCAGCCGGGACCUAAGCCGAGGCCAAAAGGCGUAGGCGAUGGACAAUCGGUUAAAAUUCCGAUGCUACCUCCUUACCGUUAUAAGUGAUGGGGGGACGCAGUAAGAUAAGCCAGCCUGUUAACGGUUAUUACAGGUUGAAGCACGUAGGAGGAUCCUUUAGGUAAAUCCGGAGGAUUGUAAACUCUAAAGUGUGAUCUGGAACUUCUACGGAAGUGAAGUGGUUGAUUCUACACUGCCAAGAAAAUCCUCUAGCAAGGUAAGUGGUACCCGUACCGUAAAUUGACACAGAUAGACAGGAAGAGAAUUCUAAGGCGCGCGAGAGAACCUUCGUUAAGGAACUCGGCAAAAUAGCCCCGUAACUUCGGGAGAAGGGGUGCCUCAUUAGAGUGUAUGCUCGAAGAGGUUGCAAUGACUAGGCCCAAGCGACUGUUUACCAAAAACACAGGUCUCUGCUAAGACGCAAGUCGAUGUAUAGGGGCUGACGCCUGCCCGGUGCUGGAAGGUCAAGGGGAAGUGUUAGGUGUAUACUGAAGCACUGAACUUAAGCCCCAGUAAACGGCGGCCGUAACUAUAACGGUCCUAAGGUAGCGAAAUUCCUUGUCGGGUAAGUUCCGACCUGCACGAAUGGCGCAACGACUUGGGCACUGUCUCAACGAAGGACUCGGUGAAAUUGUAUUACCUGUGAAGAUGCAGGUUACCCGCGACAGGACGGAAAGACCCCGUGGAGCUUUACUGUAGUCUGAUAUUGAAUUUUGGUACCAUAUGUACAGAAUAAGUGGGAGGCAUUGAGAU
rnacentral:rRNA from 1 species